rnacentral:tRNA from 1 species
GGCGGUGUAGCUCAGUUGGUUAGAGCAGCGGAAUCAUAAUCCGCGUGUCGGGGGUUCGAAUCCCUCCACCGCCAC